rnacentral:snRNA from 1 species
AUUGCUUCUUGGCCUUUUGGCUAAGAACAAGCGUAAUA